GAAGUGACACUGGGAAUCAGAAAACAGUAGGCAAGGCUGUGCUGAGACUCUGUAGUCUAGCUUAUUUCUCUUUCUUUGGCCUAGUAGGGAGAGUAUAAGCUAGAUUGUGCUUGAAGGUGUCUUGUGGCUCUGCAGUACCUGAUCACUAAGGCAGAACCUGAUUAAUGUCUCAAUAAUGAAAGGAGAGAGUUGAUUGGGAUGAAAUUUCCUGAAAGAGUUUUGUUUUGUUUUGUUUUUUAAUGUUUCUUCACUCAUUUUCAAUUCUUUGGUAAUUUCAUACACAUAUAGGAUGCAUUUAGCUCACAAUCACCCCUGCUCUGCAUCACCCCUGCCCCACCUCCUCACCCUCCGAGUUCCCCACAUGCUCAUGGGUACAGGGAGAUUUUUAAUAUUUUAAUGUUUAAUGUUAAUAUUUAGAACAUAAAGCUACUGACACCUUCUAUAAGCUGAAGGAAGUUAGUAAAGGCACCUGCUGAAGUUGGUGCCACCAGCAAAGCAGCACACAGGCAGGAACAGUGUCAUUUUAGGACAUGAGGUAGUAUGUGUGGAGGGUGAGGUUGGGGUACAUCUCUUCCAUGUCUGUUCCUUUUUGUCACAUGCUUCUAUUUUCACUUGGCUAAGGAGACAACUGAUUGAAAGAGGAACAAGAGGAGGAGGAGGGAGAGGAGGAGAAAUAAGACAGAGAGAGGGAAAGGGAGAAGGCAAGAGUAGACAAUAAAGGAGAUGCAUCUUAUACUGUCUAGAAGCUAUCGUGUAAACAAAACAAAACAAAAAGACUAGGGUACUGGUGUGAUUCCAGGAGACCUGGAACUUUGUUCUGCUGGCCUGAUAGUCAAUGGAGCCUAGCAUUCCCACCAUUCCUUAGUCUCCUUACAGACACUGCCAUGCUUUGGAUGUGAAGUGACUCCUGUGUUGUGAAGGCUAGGCCCCCAGCUGAUGGUGCUCUUGAAAGAUGAAUGAGCCAGGAGGACUGCUGAAGGCCAAUGGAGAUCAAGAUUCCUGAACCGAGGAGAGAUGCGGAUCACGAGGACUGUUGAUUCACAGCAGAAUGAGCUUUUCAGUGGGGUCUGGCAGGAGGAAGCAGCCCUCAUUUCCACCAAGAAGAAGACUACAGCUCCCUCAACCCACUCUCCUCCACAAGAUCCCUGUUAGAAAUGGACUUGCAAAGGUGUUUGUGCCCUGAGGAUGCUUCAUCAGCUUAGUCUCCUGUCACUGUCCUGCUUGAACACUUAAUAUGGAAGAUUCUGGAAUGUCAUCCCCAGAAACAAUUGUGAUAAUUUUGCUAAUGAUAUCCGUCUUCAGGAUGUACCUGAUGCCUUUCUCUCCUCUUACAUGGUGUCCUGGGCUAUUUCAAAAGCAGGAUGUGUAGUGCUGCUGGAAGGUGGUAGGGAGUUCCCCAACAUCUUCUCUGUUGGGAGCUGCCCCCACAUUCGCCGUCACAAGAUGGCGCUGACAGCUGUGUUCUAAGUGGUAAACAAAUAAUCUGCGCAUGU